rnacentral:misc_RNA from 1 species
UCCGACUUCACGUCGGCAGUCUCGUUAGAGUGCUCAGCUUUCCUGGUAGCAACUAACGACAAGGGUUGCGCUCGUUGCGAGACUUAACCCAACAUCUCACGACACGAGCUGACGACAGCCAUGCAGCACCUUCUCACCGGUUCCCCGAAGGGCACGCCACUAUUUCUAGCGGUUUCCGGUGGAUUUAACCCAGGUAAGGUUCUUCGCGUUGCGUCGAAUUAAACCACAUAAUCCACCGCUUGUGCGGGUCCCCGUCAAUUCCUUUGAGUUUUAACCUUGCGGCCGUACUCCCCAGGCGGUCGACUUCACGCGUUAGCUUCGUUACUGAGAGUGUCAAACCCCCAACAACCAGUCGACAUCGUUUAGGGCGUGGACUAC